CGUGUUCAUGUGUUUUACCUAGAGUCCUACCCAGCGCAUCUCCUAUUGUGCAUCGCCUCCCUUGAGCUAGGUCUCAAUCUACACCUUCCCGGUCCUCCCAUCCCCCGAUCUUCCACAUCGCUGUUCCGCCGGGAGCGUCACAUCCAGCCUCAAUAUACUUUAGCAUGCCCAAUCCAUACUUGAGGCAGCGCGUUCUUGACGCAAUUAAAUCUUGAAUCCAAUCUGAGCCUCUCCCUGACCCCCUUCAUAUUCUCAAGUGCCAAGUGCGACCAUGUUGCAAUGCAGUCUCUUUUUUUGGGAUGAUCAAUUAUUUCGAGGAGAUUUACCCAGCGCUAUGUGAAGAGAUGGGCCAUUCGCUGUCGUCCUGGAGAUUGCAAGUCCAUAGCCGAUAGUCCGCAGGAAGGAUAAUUAAUUCCCACCAUUGGCAUAUGCAGCGGAUGAGAAGACAGAAGAGAAGGUGUACCAACAGAAAAGAGAACACAGAAGUUGAACACCAUCCUGCGACCUCCAUGAACAGGGGCUUUUGGUUGCCUGCAAUUGUACAUGCAACAUCUGAAGAAAGGAAGGUGAACCACGACUGCCUCAUCAUCUUUUGACAAAACACCGGGGAAUAAGCAACCUGUGUCCUUGAUGGUUUGCUUGAUGUAGUUAUAGCGUGGAUCAGUUCAUGUCAAUGGAGAGAUGAGAGGAGAGUUAGCAUUGGAGCUGAAUAUGGCGGAGGCCGGAGGAUGGCUGUACGUAGAUUUAGAGGACGAGGCAUGGUGUCCUAAGAGUUAUAGCAGAGAGGACAGGAUUUACAAACUGGCCUUCGACGCCCGGCGAGACUGCCGAAAGCACCGCCUUGCAUUAAACUAACGAAUGAGCUAUAGCUGAUGUUAUGUGUGUGUGUGUAUAUAUAUCCAGCCCUUUCCCUGGCAUCUCGACAGUCACAGAUCGAGCCAUGACAUCUACAAUGAUGAUCUUCUCCUUGGCAGUUGCCCAACAAAAGUUCAAGCAAUGAGGACGCGUGCCCAUGUGAGGAGUCAAGAACAAGUACUGUCCGGCGGCAGCUUCUUAUCUGCCGCUCCUUUGUUUGGCCUCUACAGGUAUGCACCAAUGUAUGUAUCCCCUGAUUUAAGGAAAAGUUAAUUUUGCCAAAA